rnacentral:tRNA from 1 species
GCCUCGGUGGCUCCGAGGCGGGAGCGCUGGGCUAUGGAUCCCCAUGUGGCGGGUUCGAAUCCCGGCCGAGGUG